GGGGAAUUGCCUUUCUAGGGGAACUUGAGGGUCAGGUUACUUAGGGUGCUUUUCUACUGUCCUGGUGGAAUGGACUUAGUGUUCUCCAGCAGGCUGUUUUUUCUUCAUGUUUUCUGCUGUUUCUGUGAAAUUUUUUUAGAGACUAUAAGAGCUAGUUACGUUGGUGGUACCUUCUCAGUACAGUAAAACCCUGGUGGUACUACUUCACUGGGAAGUACUUUGGCAGUGACUUAAGUUCAGAAGCUGGCAGGUGAGUUAUGGUAGCCUUGCAAAGCUCUGACUAUGCUUGGGAUGUUCAGAUGAGCACGUUCUUCUCAGUAUGUCUCCAGAACACACUUGAGGUUUUGUCAAAGGUUAAAGAAAUCCUAAGGAGUGUCACGCACAGAUAUGUUGAGAGGAAAGUUAUGGUAGCCUUGCAAAGCUCUGACUAUGCUUGGGACGUUCAGACAAACAUGUUCUUCUCAGUUUGUCUCCAGAAUGCACUUGAGGUUUUGUCAAAUCUUAAAGAAAUCCUAAGGAGUGUCAUGCACAGAUGUGUUGAGAGGUCUGCCAGUAGCUGACGAAGUAGAAAAGUGUGCUUUUCUCUUUCAUUCUUGUAUAGAGUUAGAGGCAAUGGCAAUUUAAUCCGUGACUGAGGGUCUGCAAUGGUGCAAGUUUAUCCUACUACUUCAAGUUCAGUGAUGCAACCUGAGUUUACACUAAUUAACUUUCAGGGAUUGAACCAAUUUAACACUUUUGGACUAUGACAAUUCUUGGAAAACAUUUCCACAGGUUUAUUUUCUUUUGCAUUUGUUUGCUAUCUCCAUCUCAUUCAAAACAGUCAGGACUGCUUUGCUUCUCUCUUCUCUGGAAAAGUUCUCUGCACUAGGAACCAUGGUUAGAAUCAGAAUCCUGAGCUAAGAGUAUGAUGAAAAGUGUUGCACUCCAAGUUGGAAAGUGAAGAGGGAAAUGUUUAUGUAUACAUGAGAAUUGUACUCAAACAGCUGAUUACACCUCUUCUGACACCUCAACAGAUGCUUACACCUUUUAUGGGAAAACUUUAAACCUAAGAAGCAACAGGCAUUUUUCUACGUUUCCCUUGGGGAUAGUAUGUUCUUCUGUAUUUUGCUUCUAUAUAAGCAGUUCAAACUUUUAAAGUCCCAUUGUCAGUCAUACAACUAAACAACCUUGCAUGGCAUUACAUGUUCCCCUCCAGAUAGAUCAAGCCCUGAAUGCAAGAUUAGACAAGUAAAUGAUGCCAACAUGUAAAACUAAUUUGUAAGUACUUUUUGGCGCUUUUUUAGGGACACUUUGUGGGGCUUAACUGUCCUGCAGUGAGAAGAACGUCUUCUGGUGUAAGUCUUCCUUGUAAGUCUUCCAAAGGGAAAUGAAAUUAUCCUACCCAGAUGAAGCACCAUCCAGAAGACACUUGAGUUGUUAGGGCCUGAAUUCUCACUGAAACCAAAGGCAGGGAUCUUACUGACCUGAAGAAAGAGGCUUUAAUCUCUCCUGGCUUGUUUACUCCUGAAGGAGCAUGAAAGAGACGCGUGUCCUUGUAUCUGAAGAGGAGGUGAAGGAACAGCUAGUGCAAGGAACACAAAAAUCCAUUGUGCCAGACUAAUAGGUGGUUGGCUCUGAGCUUGGAGACUGCAACAGAAUCACCUAGAUUAGACUCUGUGAUCUUGGAGGUCUCUUCCAACCUCUGAUCUAACACUAACAGGUCCUCCACUAAGCCAUAUCACUGAGCUCUAUGUCUAAAUGUCUUUUAAGGACAUCCAGGGAUGGUGACUCAACCGCUUCCCUGGGCAGCCCAUUCCCAUACCUAACAACCCUUUUGGUAAAGAAGUUUUUCCUAAUGUCCAACCUAAACCUCCCCUGUUGCAACUUUAGCCCGUUCCCCUUUGUCCUCUGGCCAGGCACAUGGAAGAAUAGACCAAUCCCCACCUUGCUACAGCCUCCUUUAAUGUACCUAUAGAGAUCAAAUAUAUAGAGAGUAUAUAUAUUCUUUUUUUAUAUAUGUAUAGAAAGAAAUAUUUUGAAAUUAGAAGUUGAAACUUGUAAUUUGAAGAUGACAAGAGAAAACAAAAAUUUCAAACUUUCAGCUACAUGUAUGAAGGAGCAUUAACCAAACUUUGUUUGAAAGCAAGCAGAGGCUGGACUAAUCAAAACUGAAUACACAAUAUUACUCCUAGUUCUCAGAGGGAACAUUACACCAUGACUUGGAAUGAUGACAAAAGACUAUGUUUUGUCACUAGGAUAGUUAAUCUGAAUUUUUAGUCCUUCCUCAAAUAUCAAGCUAUUUUCUGAUAUAGAUUUUAAUUCUAACAUUGAAUGUUUGACUUUGAAAACUCAAGUUUUGUUUUCUGUAGAUUUUUUCUUUUGCAUGAAGCAAUAUAUAUUUACAUGUGCAAUAAAAAUGAGAAGUACAUCAUAUGCAGAAUACCAUCAUGAUUUGGCUAUGUUAUGAGGCUGUAUGUAUUAGGCCUUAUAUUAUUUUAAUAUCUUCUGAUGUUUUAUUGGAGUUCUGUAAGAGAGGACUUUCUGUAAGAGAGGUUGCACUCAGUGUAUUUCACAAGGUGGUUGAGGUAAAGCAAACAACUCUAUCAUCAGCUUCAGAUCAUUCUUACUACACUUUCAAAAGAUGUCUAUUAUUUUAUGUAUUUUUUGACCUGAUAAAUAAUUUUGUUGAAUUCUGUUGUGCUCUUAGAAUAAUUAUUUUGCAUUUUUUCAUGUAGUACUUUUUACUGACUUAAGGGAUGUAGCUGAGAUACUUUUAAUGGUUACUGCCAGCUGUUGUGAACCAUCUGAAAAAAAAAAUUUUAAAAGUACAUUUCAAGACAUUUCAAGGUUUCUUUGAAAGAGGUUAUUAACAGGGAUACAGGGAAAUAUAUAGAGGUUUGGCCAUAGGGCAGUGCAAAGGCAGUAAAUUCUCUCUGUGAUUGCACUUGGAAAGACAAUGAUUCAGAAAUAAAUUUUGAAUCUUGGCAAAGGUUUCAAAUCUUC